rnacentral:rRNA from 1 species
AUUGAACGCUGGCGGCAUGCUUUACACAUGCAAGUCGAACGGUAACAGGCCGCAAGGUGCUGACGAGUGGCGAACGGGUGAGUAAUGCAUCGGAACGUGCCCAGUCGUGGGGGAUAACUACUCGAAAGAGUAGCUAAUACCGCAUACGAUCUAUGGAUGAAAGCGGGGGACCGUAAGGCCUCGCGCGAUUGGAGCGGCCGAUGUCAGAUUAGGUAGUUGGUGGGGUAAAGGCUCACCAAGCCAACGAUCUGUAGCUGGUCUGAGAGGACGACCAGCCACACUGGGACUGAGACACGGCCCAGACUCCUACGGGAGGCAGCAGUGGGGAAUUUUGGACAAUGGGCGCAAGCCUGAUCCAGCAAUGCCACGUGGAGGAAGAAGGCCUUCGGGUUGUAAACUGCUUUUGUACGGAACGAAACGGCUCUGGUUAAUACCCGGGGCUAAUGACGGUACCGUAAGAAUAAGCACCGGCUAACUACGUG